GCAGACGUGGCGGAAUUGGUAGACGCGUCGGAUUUAGGUUCCGAUACCCGUGAGGGUGUGAGAGUUCAAGUCUCUCCGUCUGUACCA
rnacentral:tRNA from 1 species